AUUUCCUUUAAUCUGGUCCAGAGAGGCUAAAAAGGGUGGAAAUGUAAAUAUUAUGAUUGUAUAGUAUUUUAAAUGCCCUUUUGUCCUAUUGGACGGAAGGGCAUUUAUU
rfam:Bacillus sp. VT-16-70 Bacillus_obstructivus_contig152, whole genome shotgun sequence.